AAAAUUAAAAUCUCUUUUCUUUUUAAAACUAAAAUUUAAUUAAUUAUAUUUUUAUGUUUUAAUUAGGUUUACAUCUGCGGAUUUGAUACCCACACUUUGAGAGACGAAAAAGAUUAACACCAAAACUUUCUUUGGAGUGAGAUAGUUUACCCUUCUUCUAUAUGCUUAAGGAAGUUAAUGUAGAAACCCAACAAGUGGUGUUGAUAAUAAGAAGAUAAGGAAUACAUGGAAAACGCAGAGUUGGAAAAAAAUGAUGUUUAAGGUUUCCACAACGAAUUUUAAUUUGAUUUUAACCCGCAAUAUAAUCCUGGAAAGGAAUCAAACUUAAGAACAAAAUAUUGCGAAGACGAAGCCCAACAAAAAUUCAUAAUCGAUCCAUGAUUACGAGCUGCUCAGCUGGAUUAAAUCUCAAGAUGUGUUUGCGUCCUGUCUGAGAAUUGGGCGAAAAUUUUCCAUCACAACAUUAUAAAAAAGAACAAAACAAACGUUUGGAAUUUUUUUACAACGAGAAUCUUUAAUUCUUCGAAUUUAAUGAUCGAUGGAGACGGGAAACGCUCGAAGUGAGACCAUUCAUUAUGAAUGAAACGAUUAAAAGGAUUUCUGUGACAUUAUAUCUGACAGAUGUCACUUAAACGUCAAACUUUUCAAAUAUCAAUAUUUUAGAAGAUUUCUGUAAUAUUUAAUGCCAAAUUAAAUAAGUGAUUGAAUUGGAGAAAAAUAUCUUUCUGAUAACAUUUCACACCAAAUUUAAUCUCAACAUCAAUCCACUAAGUUAUCAAAGAGGAGAAUCGCUCCAUGUGAUUAUAUUUUUGAUCAGAAAAGCUGAAAUUAAUG